rnacentral:rRNA from 1 species
GAUGAACGCUGGCGGCGUGCCUAACACAUGCAAGUCGAGCGAAGCACCUUACUUGAUUUCUUCGGGAUGAAAGUAUUGUGACUGAGCGGCGGACGGGUGAGUAACGCGUGGAUAACCUGCCUCAUACAGGGGGAUAACACUGAGAAAUUGGUACUAAUUCCCCAUAAUAUUCGGAGAGGCAUCUCUCCGGGUUGAAAACUCCGGUGGUUAUAGAUGGACAUGCGUUGUAUUAGCUAGUUGGUGAGGUAACGGCCCACCAAGGCGACGAUUGGUAGCCGGACUGAGAGGUUGAACGGCCACAUUGGGACUGAGACACGGCCCAG